UGGGGAAUAUUGCACAAUGGGCGCAAGCCUGAUGCAGCCAUGCCGCGUGUAUGGAGAAGGCCUUCGGGUUGUAAAGUACUUUCAGUCGGGAGGAAGGUGGUAAGGUUAAUAACCUUGGCGAUUGACGUUACCCGCAGAAGAAGCACCGGCUAACUCCGUGCCAGCAGCCGCGGUAAUACGGAGGGUGCAAGCGUUAAUCGGAAUUACUGGGCGUAAAGCGCACGCAGGCGGUCUGUCAAGUCGGAUGUGAAAUCCCCGGGCUCAACCUGGGAACUGCAUUCGAAACUGGCAGGCUAGAGUCUUGUAGAGGGGGGUAGAAUUCCAGGUGUAGCGGUGAAAUGCGUAGAGAUCUGGAGGAAUACCGGUGGCGAAGGCGGCCCCCUGGACAAAGACUGACGCUCAGGUGCGAAAGCGUGGGGAGCAAACAGG
rnacentral:rRNA from 1 species